CCAAUAGCGUAUAUUAAAGUUGUUGCAGUUAAAAAGCUCGUAGUUGAAUUUCGGGGUUAGUAGGUUGGUCAUGCCACUGGUAUGUACUGGUCUCACUGAUUCCUCCUUCCUGAUGAGCCGUAAUGCCAUUAAUUUGGUGUUGCGAGGAAUCUGGACUGUUACUUUGAAAAAAUUAGAGUGUUUAAAGCAAGCUAACGCUUGAAUACAUUAGCAUGGAAUAAUGAAAUAGGACGUUCGAUCCUAUUUUGUUGGUUUCUAGGAUUGACGUAAUGAUUAAUAGGGAUAGUUGGGGGCAUUAGUAUUCAAUUGUCAGAGGUGAAAUUCUUGGAUUUAUUGAAGACUAACUACUGCGAAAGCAUUUGCCAAGGAUGUUUUCAUUAAUCAAGAACGAAAGUUAGGGGAUCGAAGACGAUCAGAUACCGUCGUAGUCUUAACCAUAAACUAUGCCGACUAGGGAUCGGAUGAUGUUAAUUUUAAUGACUCAUUCGGCGCCUUACGGGAAA
rnacentral:rRNA from 1 species